rnacentral:lncRNA from 1 species
CAGCAUCUGCCUCUUUCCACUUGAACUCUGGCAGGAGGUUUGUUCCAUUGCAUGUGGUUCUGAGUUGUUCAGUCUAAUGGAAGAAGCACUAGAGAAGAGCUCAGAACGUUUGGUUUUAAAGCAGCAUCGUCAAUAUCUUUGAGUCCAACAGUCAAAUUCAAAUAUACUCCAAGAAUGUUACGAAGUUGUCGUCGGGAAGCAUGGCAAACUGAUACAGUGAAAAGAGAAAUUCUUGAGUCAGGUGUUGACCACUUUAAAUCUCAGGAUAAUUCCACAGCCUCAAGCCAGGAAACUCCUCAGCAGCCCAGUUCCAGUGACUGAGUCCACUUUGAAGACACCUUGUUGUGGGCUGCCCAUACUGUGAGGCCUGUACCCAACCAGCCCACUGGCCUUCAGUUCCAUCAGGACUGGAAGCACCUGCACACAGAGCUGAAAAGCAAACCUUUUUUAUGACUGGACGUGAACAUGUGCCGUGAUAGCUAUGGUUCGGAGGUGGGCAGGCUGCUUAUGAAUGAUUUAGCAUCAUCCCUUUGGUGCUGUCCUCACGGUAGUGAGUUAGUUCUCAUGAGAACUGGCUGUUUAAAAGUGUGUAGCACCUCCCCCCUCACUCUCUUCCUUCUGCUCUGGCCAUGUAAGAUGUGCCUUGCUUCCCUUUUGCCUUCCGCCAUGAUUGAAAGUUUCCUGAGACCUCCCCAGAAGCAGAGGCCAGCAUCAUGCUUCCUGUGCAGCCUGCAGAACCGUAAGCCAAUUAAGCCUUUAUUCUUUAGGAAUUACCCAGUUUCAGGUAUUUAUUUAUAGCAGUGCGAGAAUGGACUAAUACAGGCAUAUACUCAAUAAUGAUUUUGCUGGGUCAAACAGUAGUUCUGAGUUCUUUGAGAAAUCUCCAACUGCUUUCUACAGUGGCUGAACUAAUUUACAUUCCCACCAGAAGUAUAUAAGCAUUCCCUUUUCUCCACAAUCUUGCCAGCAUCUGUAAUUUUCUGACUUUAAUAAUAGACAUUCUGAUUGGGGUGGGAUAUGACACCUCAUUGUAGUUUUGAUUUGCAUUUCUCUAAUGAUUAGUGAUGUUCAGCAUUUUUCAUGUUUGGCUGUGCAUAUGUCGUCUUUUGAGAAAUGUCAUCUUGAGAAAUGUCUGUUCAUGUCCUUUACCCGUUUUAAGAAGGUUGCUUGUUUUUUGCUUGCUGAUUUAAGAUUCCC